GGGCACUACAUCAGUUAUGUCCAUGACGGAUCUGAAUGGCUUAAAUGCAGUGACAACUCCAUCAAAAAAUCCAGCUGGACAAAGGCGUCAAAAAAAAUGGGAAAGAAUGGCUACAUGCUCUUCUACGUGAAGAGUUGAGCGGCGACUGGUUGAGUGUUGGAGAGGAAAGGCUGGAAGACCGACUGGAAGUUUUCACUGUCCUGCUGUAAAAGUAUGGGUCAGUUAAUUAAACAUCUGCCCUCUGCUGGCCAGGUAUUGAACACUCAGCUAAAAUAUUCUGAAAGACAAGGGUGCCGAGAUAAGACAGUGAUACAAAUAAAAGACUAAAACAACAGAAAAAGAGCAAGAGGAAGAAUAAAGAUGAGCCAGGAAAGAGAGACUGGACGAUGGUGCCGUUGGGAAGGAGCAACAUUUUAGUGAAGAUCAUUCUGUGGCUGACAGUCUCUGUCUCUGAUUUCAAAUGUACUUUGAAAUCACACAAUAAAACUAAACAAUGUUAGAAAAUAACAAUAUAAUAAUGACAUUUGUGUAUAGAUAGGUACAAGAAAUGAUGAUAUGAUUACAAUAAAAUUGUGAUGAAUUAAUAAAGAAAGAAUGAAUAAAUAAAAAGAAAGAAAGAAAAUGAAACAUAAUUGUUUGGUGACUCUCUUUCAUCAACUCACUUUUAAUCCACAUAAGUCUACGAAGAAGACGCUUAAUAAAGAAGAAAUAAAAAUAGAAAAUAUAUUAUCUCCAUCAUGAGCGCUUCACAACUUCUAAGGUAUGACUUUUUUCUGUGGAAAGCCACCUGCAUAUGUCUCAUGCACUCAUUUUGAUUGAAGUGAUUGUAUAAUAACAUGUAAAAUGCUUUACAUCUUAUUAUAUUUUCAUGCAUGUAAUUAAUUGAAUCUUGCAAUAAGGUGAAAACAUUUAUGAAAUUAAAUAACGAAUCGAUAAACUUUUGGAAGAACCUUUUGUGGAUUAGAAAUGCUUGGUUGUUCAAAGUUCUUCAAGGAAAGUUCUUCAUAGAAAACAAAGAAGAACAUUCAACAAUUAGGCUGUGUAACAAAUAGAUCCUCACUGAAAAGUACAGGCACAAGAAAAACAAAGUUCUUACAUUGGCUAAUACUGACCUCUAGUGUAAAAAAGAAAAAAAAUCUCAGCAGAAGGUUUGUGCAAUAAAUAAAUACAAUGUUCAGAUUCACAUCCAUAAAGCAAAACCAAUUUAAUUCAAGCUUGUG